CGGUAAUACAGAGGAGGCAAGCGUUGUUCGGAAUCACUGGGCUUAAAGCGCGUGUAGGCGGCCUGUCAAGUACCUUGUGAAAUCCCUCGGCUCAACCGGGGAAUGGCUGGGUAUACUGACGGGCUUGAGGUUGGUAGGGGUGCCUGGAACUCUAGGUGGAGCGGUGAAAUGCGUAGAUAUCUAGAGGAACGCCCGUGGCGAAAGCGGGGCACUGGGCCACACCUGACGCUAAGACGCGAAAGCGUGGGGAGCAAACGGGAUUAGAUACCCCGGUAGUCCACGCCGUAAACGAUGCGCACAAGGUUCACGAGACUCUGACGUCGAGUGAGCCGAAACAAAAGUGUUAAGUGCGCCGCCUGGGGAGUACGGCCGCAAGGCUAAAACUCAAAGGAAUUGACGGGGGCUCACACAAGCGGUGGAGCAUGUGGCUUAAUUCGAAGCAACGCGAAGAACCUGACCUGGGUUUGACAUGCAUGGAUUAGUUCUGUGAAAGCAGAAUGACGCGGCUUGCCGUGGAACAUGCACAGGUGCUGCAUGGCUGUCGUCAGCUCGUGUCGUGAGAUGUCGGGUUAAGUCCCCUAACGAGCGAAACCCUUGUCGCUAGUUGCUAACGGGUAAUGCUGAGCACUUUAGCGAGACUGCCGGUGUUAAACCGGAGGAAGGUGGGGAUGACGUCAAGUCCUCAUGGCCUUUAUGCCCAGGGCUGCACACGUGCUACAAUGGGAUGGUACAAAGCGAUGCGAAGCCGCGAGGCGGAGCAAAUCGCAGAAAACUUCCCUCAGUUCGGAUUGCAGGCUGCAACUCGCCUGCAUGAAGCUGGAAUCGCUAGUAAUCGCGCAUCAGCUAUGGCGCGGUGAAUAUGUUCCUGAGCCUUGUACACACCGCCCGUCAAGUCAUGGAAGCUGGUAGUACCCGAAGUCCGCUUAGCUAACCGCAAGGAUGCGGCGGCCGACGGUAAGACCGGUGACUGGGACUAAGUCGUAACAAGGUAGCCGU
rnacentral:rRNA from 1 species